GCAGGUUUCAUCGCUGCGAGGGGAUACAGACCGUCCUGUGAUGCCCGUUGAUGGCGGGCAGUUGAGGCACGGAAUCCAAGCAUUUGCUGGCGUGGUAAAGGCAGACCUGGGCACGUUCA
rnacentral:sRNA from 1 species